CUUGAUCGAGCCGAGCCACAGGGGCCGGUCCGGCCUGCGGCCCUGACCGUAGGUCGCGAUGAGCGCCUGCGCCUC
rfam:Micromonospora nigra strain DSM 43818 genome assembly, contig: Ga0070616_13